rnacentral:tRNA from 1 species
GGAGAGGUGGCCGAGCGGUUGAAGGCACUUCGUUGGAAGCGAAGCAACAUCCAAAAGGUGUUCGAGGGUUCGAAUCCCUCCCUCUCCGCCA